CGGUAAGGUGGAAACGGAUAGAGUCGGCGUAUCAUUCAAUUAUUCAGUUACAUUAUUUUUAUGUUGUGACCUCUGAGCUCCAGAUUGGGACAGAGGGAAUCAGCAUAAUUUUUUGUGGUGCAUUUACUUGAUUGGUGCUUGGGGAUGUUUGAGGCAGAUUUGUUUCCGUCGUUUUGAGGCCAGCUUGCUGGUACCCAAACGGUGUUAGCAUUUUUUGUCUUGGGCAUUUGAGUAUGGCUCACGUGUAUUUAUUGGACAGAUCUGAGUGUAAGUUACGGUCGCAUGCGACACGUGCUUUUCAAUUAGUUCGGUCCAGUUAAUGCUCUCGUACUCGUUCCCCAUGUAAAAGCCGGUCAUCUAUCCGACCCGUCUUGAAACACGGACCAAGGAGUUUAUCGUGUGCGCAAGUUUUUGGGUGUUAAAAACUUAAAAGCGAAAUGAAAGUAAAUGACUCUUUAGAGUCUGAUGUGCGAUCUUGUAAAAAAGUGUAGCAUGGCCCCAUUCUAACUGUUUACAGUAGGGUGGCGGAAGAGCGUACGCGGUGAGACCCGAAAGAUGGUGAACUAUUCCUGAGCAGGACGAAGCCAGAGGAAACUCUGGUGGAAGUCCGAAGCGGUUCUGACGUGCAAAUCGAUCGUCUGACUUGGGUAUAGGGGCGAAAGACUAAUCGAACCAUCUAGUAGCUGGUU
rnacentral:rRNA from 1 species